GGGGGGGGGGGGGGGGGGGGGGGGCAGGGGCGGGGGGGGGGACGAACGAGGGGUUGCCCUGGGGCAAAGCAGCGAACGGGUGAGUAACCCGUGGGUAACCUACCCCGAUAACCGGGACAACCCGCGGAAACUCGGGCUACUACCGGAUGUGCUCCCUGGACGUCGGUUCAGUGCGUAAAGGAAGCUUCGGCCUCCGUAGCGGGAGGGGCCCGCGGCCCACUAGUGUGUUGGUGAGGUACCGGCUCACCAAGACCGCGAUGGGUAGCUGGUCUGAGAGGACGAUCAGCCACACUGGGACUGAGACACGGCCCAGACUCCUACGGGAGGCAGCAGUGGGGAAUCUUGCGCAAUGCGCGAAAGCGUGACGCAGCAACGCCGCGUGGGGGAAGAAGGCCUUCGGGUUGUAAACCCCUUUCAGGAGGGACGAAGGUUCGGCGGUGAAUAGCCGUCCGGACUGACGGUACCUCCACAAGAAGCCCCGGCUAACUACGUG
rnacentral:rRNA from 1 species